rnacentral:rRNA from 1 species
AUUUUGGACAAUGGGCGCAAGCCUGAUCCAGCCAUGCCGCGUGAGUGAAGAAGGCCUUCGGGUUGUAAAGCUCUUUCGGUGGGGAAGAAAUGGUUCGUGCUAAUACCACGGACUGAUGACGGUACCUGGGGAAUCAGCCCCGGCUAACUACGUGCCAGCAGCCGCGGUAAUACGUAGGGGGCAAGCGUUGUCCGGAUUUAUUGGGCGUAAAGCGCUCGCAGGUGGUUGGUCGCGUCGUGCGUGAAAGACCCCGGCUCAACUGGGGAGGGUCGUGCGAUACGGGCUAACUGGAGGCCAGUAGGGGGAUGCGGAAUUCCGGGUGUAGUGGUGGAAUGCGUAGAGAUCCGGAAGAACACCAGCGGCGAAGGCGGCAUCCUGGACUGGUCCUGACACUCAGGAGCGAAAGUGUGGGGAGCGAUC